AAGAGAAGCUUGGUCAUCUAAAGCGUAGUCGAACGAAUCUGCCGUUGAUGAGGAUAUGUUCAGAUUCGUUCUAUUACACUUUACAUGAGCAGACUACUCACC
rnacentral:pre_miRNA from 1 species